CCCUUAGAUGUUCUGGGCCGCACGCGUGCUACACUGACCGGCGCAACAAGUUUCUUUCCUUGGCUCGAUAGGCCUGGGUAAUCUUUGAACGCCGGUCGUGAUGGGGAUAGAUCCUUGCAAUUUUUGAUCUUCAACGAGGAAUUCCUAGUAAAUGCGAGUCGUCAUCUCGCGUUGAUUACGUCCCUGCCCUUUGUACACACCGCCCGUCGCACCUACCGAUUGAAUGGUCCGGUGAAGCCUCGGGAUUGCGAAUGCUUCGUGCGGACGCGAGAACUUGGCUAAACCUUACCAUUUAGAGGAAGGUGAAGUCGUAACA
rnacentral:rRNA from 1 species